AAAAAAAUAAUUAUUAAUUGUAUAUAUACAUAUAUAAGUUAUUUAAUAAAAGUAAUUGUUAUUUUUAUUAGUUUGUAUGAAAAAAUUAGUGUUUAUUAUAGUUAAAUAGUAUUGAGAAAGAAGAUUUAUUAUUAUUUAAUAGAAAAAUUUAAUUUUUGUACCUUGUGUAUCAGGGUUUAUUAAAUAAAUUUUAUAUAGAGUAAUUUUCUCGAAUUUAAAAGAGCUAUAAUUUUAUAUUUUUUAUUGUGGAAUAAAUAUUGUAAAUAUAAUUAUAGAAGUGAAAUGCUAUUCGAUUUUAAAUAUAUCUAGUUUUUUAAGAAAAAAAUUUAAUUUUAUUUUAAUUAAUUAUUUUAUUAAAUUUAUAAUAGUAUAGUUGUUAAUGUAAAUAUAUAAAGGGAUGAGCUUUUAUAUAAAUUUAUAUAAUUUUAUAAGUUUUUAAUUUUAUAAAUAGGAUUAUAAGUUUCCAGUUUUUAUAGUGUUUUAUAACAAUAAAAAUUUAUUAUAAGAUUUUUAUUUAAUUUAUAUUUUUUAUUAAAAUAUAAAUUUUAAUCAUAUAAAUUUAGAAAUAAUGAUAAAAUUAGUAUUAAAUAUUGUUUGUAUAUUAUUUAUAUAAAGAUUAAAUAAAGGAAUUCGGCAAAUAAAUUUUCCACCUGUUUAUUAAAAACAUGGCCUUUUGAUUAUAAUUUAAGGUCUAACCUGCCCAAUGAAUUUUUAAAUGGCCGCGGUAUUUUGACCGUGCAAAGGUAGCAUAAUAAUUUGUUUCUUAAUUAGAAGCUUGUAUGAAAGGUUGAAUGAGAAAAUAGCUGUCUCUAUUUAAAUAAAAGAAUUUUAUUUUUAAGUAAAAAAGCUUAAAUAAUUAUUGAAGACGAGAAGACCCUAUAGAGUUUUAUAUUUUUUAUUUUUUUAAUUUUUAGAAUUUUAAAAGAAAAGGAUACAAAGUAUUUAGUUGGGGUGAUUGAAAAAUUAAGUUAACUUUUUUUAUAUUUUUACAUUUAUUUAUGGAUAUAUGAUCCUAUGUUUUAGAUUAUAAGAUAAAAUUACCUUAGGGAUAACAGCGUAAUUUUUUUUAAGAGUUCUAAUCGGAAAAAAAGUUUGCGACCUCGAUGUUGGAUUAAAAUAAAUUUUAGGUGUAGAAGCUUAAAUAAUUAGGUCUGUUCGACCUUUAAAAUUUUACAUGAUCUGAGUUUAAACCGGCGUGAGCC
rnacentral:rRNA from 1 species